AAGAUACUCCUUCCGUCCGAAAAAGCUUGUCCCUCAAAUGGAUGUAUCUAGCAUCAAGUUAGUGGUAGAUACAUUCAUUUGAGCAACAAGCUUGGGACAAGUUUUUUCAGACGGAGGGAGUACAAG
rnacentral:pre_miRNA from 1 species